ensembl:lncRNA
CAGUCACUGGGUCCUGCAGGAAUGGAGUUUAAGAACCUGGUAUAGAGGGACUGGCUCCAGAUGCUUUGAUACAGUAAAGGUUUAAAACAAAUCUUCAUGGAGUAGGCCAUUCGAGGAUGCGGUCUGAUGGUGCCCUCUGAUGUCAUCGGCCUCCCCCCUUGCUUGUGAAAACAAUAGAGGAACCCCCCCACUGGUGCCAUGUCAGAGGAUACCUCGACCACCUAUUGAGAUGGACAUAUAGUCUCCCUAACUGACUCCCACAGAGACAGAUAUGUAGAGACUUUGAUGGAAACCUGGAGUGGC